ACACUUCCAUAUGAUCACAUUUAUAUAUAUAUGUAUGUAUUUAUCGAUGUAAAAUGAUAAUUUUUUAUGUUUUAGCUUUUUUUUUAAUUUUUUUCAAGUUAUCGCUAUACUACUGUCAACAUUUAAAGGGUAUGUCACAUGUUGAUGUUGUAGACAAUUCAAUGAAAUCCAAUGAAUCUGGAAUAUAUAGACUUCGUACACAUGACAAAUUACUUGAAGAUGAAGAAUAUACCCAUGUUUUGAAUUUCUUUGCAAAAAGGAAUAUACCAAAGGAAAAAACAAGCUUUAGUAACCGAGUUUGACUUUGGUAAAGUAACAAUUUCUUACAACUUUGAAAAUUUGUUAGAAAGAGCUUAUAGUUUUGCUUAUUCACUUGAAACUUUUAAUGGUGGGAUACCAACAAAAACUUAUGAUGAAGAUAAAAAUAAAGGAAAAUUCAAAAUGUUAGGUAUAUAUGGUAAUAAUUCAAUCAAUUGGUUCAUUGCAGACCUCGCAUGCAUGAUAAGUGGUACAACAGCUUUAGUCAUGCAUUCCAAAUUUAGCAUAGACGAAGUGAUUGAUAUAUUAAACGAAUCAAAAGUUGAAUGGUUAUCUAUCGAUAUAAAUUUAAUUAGUGAAAUAUUAAAAAAAAAAAAAAAAAAAAAAAAAAAAAAAAAAAAAAAAAAAAAAAAAAAAAAAAAAAAAAAAAAAAGUGCUCGUUUUUUUUUUUUUUUUUUUGAUGUCUGUUUACUUAAUGUUUGUUGGGGGUGGGGUAGGAAAAAGAGAAGUAUGGGAUUGGUUACACUUUUCAGGAGACAUACUUCGGUUAUACAUGGAUUAUACUUGGAUUACAAUUGGAUUGCAAUUGGAUUAAUAUAUAUAUAUAUAUAUAUAUAUAUAUAUAUAUUUCGGUUUUAUCUUUGUUUGGAAAAUGAUUUUUGAAGUUAUUAUGUACAGAACAUUUUAUGACAUACACUGAACACAAUUCAAUAAUAUGCCAAAUUACAUAAUGUAUUAUGACCCUAUAAAAAAAUAAAAAAAAUGUCACUUCACCUGAUAUAUAUAUA
rnacentral:lncRNA from 1 species